ensembl:lncRNA
AACCCAUCAGAACCCAUUAGAACCCAUCAGAACCCAUUAGAACCCAUCGGAACCGCUCGGAAGCAGCGCCUGGCAGUGACCCCGCGGCGUCACGGUGCCACCGGGGCGGAUCCGUGGGGCACGGAACCCCCCCCAAGAACCCACCGGGACCCACCGGAACCGACCGGAACCCACCGGGACCCAUCGGAACCAGCACCCGGCGCUGAGCCCGCGGCGUCACGUCGUCAACGGGGCGGAUCCGUGGGGCGCGGGGACCCCCCCCCCCCCCCCCCCCCCGCGCGGGGCCCCCCCCCGGUGCCGCUAUGGGGCGCCCCCGAGAACCCAGCGGAACCGAGCGGGACCCUUCGGAACCGAACGGAACCCACCGGGACCGACCCCCGGAGCCCGGCCCCACGGCGCGGCGCUGUCCCCGGCCCGGGGCGGCACUCACCGGGCGGCGCCGUGGGGCGGAUCCGUGGGGCAGCCGAAGUCGCUGACUUUUACUCCAAGAAGGGAAAAUCCUUUUUAAAAGCUUCGCUCCGCCCCGGGAGCGCCGCCGCCGGAGGAGGAGCCCCCAGCGCCGGCAGCGGCCACGCACCCUUUAGCGGCCGGAGCGGGGAGCGGGGCGGGGCGGGACCGCAACCGCUUGGGGGGCGCUGCCCCACGGCCACGGGGAGCGGAGCCUCGAGGGGGGGGAGCCUCGUGCCCCACAGCGGGGGGACGCUGCGCCCCAUAGAGAAGGGGCCCGGUGCCCCACAUUGGGGGGACGCUGCGCCCCACAUCGGGGGGACGCUGUGCCCCAUAGUGAAGGGGCCCGGUGCCCCACAUUGGGGGGACGCUGUGCCCCAUAGUGAAGGGGCCCGGUGCCCCACAUUGGGGAGAUGCUGUGCCCCACAUCGAGGGGACGCUGCGCCCCAUAGAGAAGGGGCCCAGUGCCCCACACCGGGGGGACACUGUGCCCCACAUAUUGGAGGUGCUGUGCCCCAUAGUGAAGGAGCCCGGUGCCCCACAUUGGGGGGACGCUGUGCCCCAUAGUGAAGGGGCCCAGUGCCCCACAUCAGGGGGACACUGUGCCCCACAUUGGGGGUUCUCUGUGCCCCACAUCGGGGGGACGCUGUGCCCCAUAGCAAAGGGACCCAGUGCCCCACACCGGGGGUUCUCUGUGCCCCACAGUGUGCAUACUCUGUGCCCCACAUUGGGGGUUCUCUGUGCCCCACAUCGGGGGGACGCUGUGCCCCAUAGCGAAGGGGCCCGGUGCCCCACAUCAGGGGGACGCUGUGCCCCAUAGUGAAGGUGCCUGGUGCCCCACACUGGGGAGACGCUGUGCCCCACAUCAGGGAGGUGCUGUGCCCCAUAGCAAAGGGGCCCGGUGCCCCACAUCAGGGGUUCUCUGUGCCCCACAUCGGGGGUUCUCUGUGCCCCACAUCGGGGAUACACUGUGCCCCACACUGUGGGUACGCUGUGCCCCAUAGCAAAGGAGCUGGGUGCCCCACACCACGGUUUCUCUGUGCCCCACACCGUGCAUACUCCGUGCCCCACACUGUGGGUACAAUGCGCCCCAUGGCGAAGGAGCUGGCUGCCCCACACUGGGGGUUCUCUGUGCCCCACAUCAGGGUUACUCUGUGCCCCAUGGCGAAGGAGCUGGCUGCCCCACGGCGGGGGCUCGGUGCCCCACAUCACACACGAUCCGUGCCCCAUGGCGGGGGGCUGGGUGCCCCAUAGCGAGCCAGCUGUGAGCCCCACAACGUGAACACUCAUCGCCCCAUAGCAGAACAUCCAGGCACCCUCAGGCAUGGCUGCUCGGUGCCCCACAGCAGGGGGGCAGGGCGCCCCAUGGCAUAGAAACCGGGUGCCCCAUAGCGAGGCAGCUGCUGCCCCAUAGCACAGGAGCUGGGUGCCCCAUAGCGAGGGGGCCCACUGCCCCAUAGCACAGGAGCGGGGUGCCAAACAGCAAGGGAGCUGGGCGCCCCAUAACAGGGGUACUGGGCGCCCCAUAGCGAGGGGGCUGGGCACCUCAUAACGUGGGUGCUGAGCA